UACGGAGGGUGCGAGCGUUGUCCGGAAUCACUGGGCGUAAAGGGCGCGUAGGCUGCCUGAUAAGUAGGGGGUGAAAUCCUGCGGCUUAACCGCAGGGCUGCCUUCUAAACUGUCAGGCUCGAGCACAGUAGAGGCAGGUGGAACUCCUGGUGUAGCGGUGGAAUGCGCAGAUAUCAGGAAGAACACCAACGGCGAAGGCGACCACCUGGACUGAUACUGACACUGAGGUGCGAAAGCGUGGGGAGCAAACAGG
rnacentral:rRNA from 1 species